rnacentral:lncRNA from 1 species
CUAUCGAAUGUUUGUCGAAGCAAUUGUCGUACGUGCUGAGAGUUCACAGGUCAAGCUAUGUCAAUUCAAAACGGCCUAAGUUUGAAUGCAAUUCUAGAUCUGAAAUAGGAUCAGUUUCCGUACUUCUGUCUUUUUGAAAAAGUAAGGUCUGCCGGUUUGCAACUCCGAAGCUGAAAAGGAAAAGUAACGUUAGCCGGUUUCCAGUUCCAGUUUGUUACCUGACUGCUCCGCCUUAACGUGAAAAUACGUGUAUUGCUGUAGACCAAAUAACUAUGUCAUUUGGCCCCUCGAGCCAAUAUUAAGGGAGAGGGGCCUCCGUCUUUUUAUCGCCUAAUUGUCAACUGUCUUCUCAUCAUUGAGUUAAGCUCGAGUGAUCAAGUCAUGACGUUAUUCGAUCUGAGAUACCAAAUAUCCAUGAGGAGAAUGUGCGACCUCCAAGCCAAGAAAAGGCUUAGGGCACGUCAGCGCCUUCAUAGCAAAUAAUUGAUGAAGGCGGCACUUGAUCAGCGAUAUGGUAACGGAGUAAUCACCAGUCAGUUUGAUAUCAUCAACAUACAACAACAGAAUAGCACGUCCUCGAGGAUAAACUGAUACGAACAUGGCCGAAUCAUGAUCACUCCGAGCAAACCCUGCCUGGAUAACAUAACCACUGUGCUGAACUUCAAAAACCGACGCUAUCAGGGUUUGUUGAGACCAUAGAUCGCUUUGCGUAAAGGACAGACAAGAGAAGAAGUCAGAAGGGCAGGUUCUCUUUCUUCCGUCUUUUCUAGGUGCGCAUCUCCAUCUACUAAAAGUAGGGUUGGUUGCCAUAGAUAGAUUGAGUCAUUCGUAACCUGAGCAAUAACCGAUGCUACUACAUCAAUAACGGAAAUAACCGAUGCUACAGCAGAAACUACAGCUAUACGUGGCGGCCCCACACGCAGCUUUGUUUAACAAGCAUCACCCUUCCUUUCUUUUCAAAUGCUUCAUCAGUCAAUCAGCAGCUUAUUCGAUUCCUAUUCUUAUUAAACAUCUGAUAUAGAUGGUGGGAACAAUGAAGCAGAUUCAUCAUCUAUAGGUUGCAAUCCGUAUGAUUUCUUUUCUCGAUCUCCUGCUUGUGUUUCAUCUCGCACCUAAGCAUCACGUUCCUAGGGAUAGAGACAUCUGCGCUCUAAGGCAAUCAUAGUACUACCAGUAGGGUUACAUCGUUCUGCGGGCAAGCUUCAACUUCAAAGUCACCUGAUUUGGCACCAGCCAAAGGAGUAGGAACAACAGUUGGGGAAGCACCAUUACCAUCCAUGGGAUGCUUUGUGAACAGCCCCCUCUGUUCAAUACCGAUGCCUGUCAGAUUCCAUAGCUGAUGAAUCUCUUUCUUUUUCCACUCUUUCCCCGUCAUGCAAGACGCUUUUCUGGCACAAACCUAGUAGUUAUUUGUCAUGCUGAUCUUGGGUGAAUUGAUGACACUGAUGCUCCAAGACCAAGAGCAGGACGGUGGUUCCUCCCGCCUGGCAGGUCUAAGAAUACAACCCCUAUGACACAGUUGAAACCAAUUGUCUCUCACUUCACCGCGAACGGCAUACUUUAAUAAUUUAUGAUGAUCUCUCCAAACAGGCACAAGCUUAUCGCCAAAUGUCCCUUCUAUUAAGUCCCGGCCAUGAGGCUUAUCCAGGGGAUGUUUUUUAUUUGCAUUCACGCCUUUUAGCACACCAGUCUGGUAUCAAAGUGUAUCUACUUGAAAAGGAGACUACUUGAACAGAUGAAAUGGAAGGAAGAAAUGAAAGUUUGAUCUACCAACAUAGAGUCCGCCCCACCCAGGAAGAAGAAAUUUGCUACUUUGGCUCAUCAGUUGGUAAGUCUGUCUAUGAAGUUCAGUGCCCAGAAAAAGAGAAAAAAAGACCAAAACAAGCUUUUUCAAGCUCUACAAGUCCUAUAUAUAUAUAGUGUUCCACUAGAUAGCCGUGUUAAACUAGUCCAGUCUUGCCGAGUGGCCUUAUCUUCUNNNNNNNNNNNNNNNNNNNNNNNNNNNNNNNNNNNNNNNNNNNNNNNNNNNNNNNNNNNNNNNNNNNNNNNNNNNNNNNNNNNNNNNNNNNNNNNNNNNNNNNNNNNNNNNNNNNNNNNNNNNNNNNNNNNNNNNNNNNNNNNNNNNNNNNNNNNNNNNNNNNNNNNNNNNNNNNNNNNNNNNNNNNNNNNNNNNNNNNNNNNNNNNNNNNNNNNNNNNNNNNNNNNNNNNNNNNNNNNNNNNNNNNNNNNNNNNNNNNNNNNNNNNNNNNNNNNNNNNNNNNNNNNNNNNNNNNNNNNNNNNNNNNNNNNNNNNNNNNNNNNNNNNNNNNNNNNAGGGUAUGAGGGGCCUCAUGAUCUCCACGAACAGAGAUCACUACACAGGAAACAGCUAUAUGAAAAACUUGCUUGCUUCUUCGAAUCUCGAAAUAACAGAACAUAUAGAAAGUGUUUUGUGAUUUUUCCAUUCUCUUCGGGGAACCUAUAGAAAUAUUAUCAGACGGCUUUCAUGAUAUUAUGCUUCCUUGCCCAUGUGGAACAUGUAUGAGCAUUAUGUUUUUCCAACAAGUGAUCCGACUGGAAGAAGUGUUAUAUGAGGACUUCGAGAUCAAAUAGAGAAUCUGUCUCUCCAUACCUCGUGAGCCACUUAUUUCUCCGAAAUCAGAGAUCAGAGUGAUUUUCCUCCUUUUUCCCAAAUAGUCGACGGUCUUACACCAUUGGGAUACUUCGGAUAAACUGGAGUACAUAUAUGAGAGACCGGUGCUAAAACCUUUUCUCGAGAUAUCUUCCAGAUUCUUAGGGUCCUUCCUCCGGAUCUCGCCCCCCGGUGCGAAAGCAGUUGGUUUCGUAGUUUGAGAAUUCUACUAAUUCCAAGUAUUCCAUUAUUAUUAUUAAAUAAGAGAAUAUAAAAAGUAAAGAGGAGAAGACAUAACCAGAAGAAUUGUGAGAAAUAAGUUAAUUUAUCAAGUUGAGGCAUUUCGAUUUGGAUUUCAAAUAAGAAAAAAAAGGAUUUUGUGAAAUUUAGGAGUCGUUCAAAAGCAUCAAGAGGGAAGAACUCAGAUAGAAAGGCAGGUGAAGUUGGCGGCCAACCUAAUUCCCCUCCCAGUUGUACCCUUGUGCAUCCCCUCUGUAAAUGAUUUCCACUGGAUCUGGAGAUUCCCCGGGGCCCCCUGAAUCAUCAUCUUCGGACCCCGAAUCAUCAUCCCACCUUUUAUGCUUCUGCGAAGAAGACGGGCCUGCCUUGUUCGCCCCAUCAUUUGCUUUUGUGCUUUCAGGGGAUCCCGUGGAAUGAUCCUCCUGCUCUUCCAAAGGCGCAUCGGGGUCAGGAGAAUCCGGUUCACCGAGCUCGGCGCGGCGAAACCACUUCGCCAGAUUGGUGGCUAUUGCGAUGAAUUCACUUGCGUCCCCGGCUUCCGUAUAAUCAGAGAAGAUUUUUUGAAGAGUAUCUCCUCCCUCACUAUUCCACAAUACAUGAUUUUGAGUGAACGAUCGCGCAGAUUCACCUUCCUCUAAAGGAAGCGGAGUGCCUACUUCGUGAAAUAUUCUUUCAACCUUGGAAGUCAACUCCGCAAUUAUGUCUUCUGGAUGGGCGGCGUGCGCCAUUUCCUGCUGGUAGUCCGCCAACGGGAGGUUGGUCUAUGGGAAAGUCACCCUCGUUAGGAGCAUUGGUCAUGACGAGAACAUUGAGAUCCGUGACAUUCUCAUUCCCAAGAUGAAAGGCUAUUCCUUGAACUCCGAAUAAUACAACAAAUGCCAUUAUUAGUACUGUCAACGCAAGACCAAACGAUGGUAUAGCAAUGAACAAAAGAAUGACACUUGGAAAUAUGGUCCGAAUAAUUUCGAUAGUAGUUCCAUGAACAAUCCUUUGUGGGAGACAUGGACUUUAGUCUGUAUCGACCCGGUGCCGCAGGACUGUUCCUAGCCUCGAGGAGUGAAUCCGAGAGGCAUGACUAGCUCGAUGGAGUGAGUACUUGAAACCGUAGUGAAGAGUACAGAUCGACCAGAAGGUAGGUUAGGGAGCGGAAUAGUUUAUAACGGAGAGAGCCUUUCCUUUAGUGCAGUUGUUUAGUUGAACUUCCUUUAACAAGGUUGACGAGGAAUGACCGAUCGAGGGAACGAUCGAGGAGACCAAUCAGCUACAUCGGUAGCUUUCUAUUCUGUCCCUUUCCUUUGAAUAGUAGGGAAAGCUAGACUUGAUCUAUUGAAUAGGUCUAGUCUUUUCCCUUCUACUCCUUUGGGAAGGGGGUUCGGGGGAAACCUUUUGUCCUUACCUUGUUUUGUCUAUUCAGUAGCAAAGGAAAAGUAACGUUAGCCGGUUUCCAGUUCCAGUUCGUUACCUGACUGCUCCGCCUUAACGCGAAAAGAUAAGAAAAGUGCCUUGGUGCAAAGCUAGGGUCAACAGAAAGUUUCCAAUGUUAGGAGGAAUUCCCCUUAAUAUCAAGAUGGCUUUUCCAUGGUAUGCAUGUUUGGGUGAAGAUGACCCAGGCGCAGAGGCCUGAUUUCAUAGUCAAAUGCGCUCAAAACACAGACUUGGAGUAGGCGCGUGCAGGAUCAUACGUCUGGUUUCCUAAAUCAGCCAAAUAGGCCUCCUUUUUGGAGUGCAAUAGCCUUUUCUCUUUGAUCCCUCACGUGAUCAAAUCAAGUAAGUCUACUUCUACUUGUAUUGGAAGUGAGUAGUACACAUACGGUUUUCAGUGAACAGUAGUUCAUAAUGCUGGUCUUAUUCCACUCCCUUUUGGAGUAGAUGCAAAAAUCUAAUUAGAUUUAUGCUCAAAUCUCAUGACUGGAUUGAGCAGUACUAAACUAUAUAAUAUAGCAGUACUAUAUACACGCGUGCGCACGCGGGCGAUUUUCUCCCUUGCGUGUGCGCAAUUUCUCCCUCACAGAAUAGGGGCCCCAUCUGCUAACCUCCUGCUGCCCGGAACAGGUAUGGAAAGCUUUGACAAAAACUUAAAGUGAUAUGCAAAUGGAAUGGGAGAGUUCCUAACUGACCAGUUGAUUUGAUCGGCAGUGGACUAGUCAACACAGUUAGUCUCAUUUCCCAUUCUCUUGCUCACAUCCAACCUGUUGGGGUUCCGAUAUAGCUAUCGGUCCCUUCAAGGAUGGCAACCAGCACGAUUGUCCUGGCUGCGGCUCAUCUUUUUCGAUGAACCAACCACAGCCCUAUGCCUGUGAUCACGAUACGCAUGAACAGAGAUCACUACACAGGAAACUGCUUAUGUUUCCUCGACAGAUUUCAUCACUUUGAGCGAGUAUUACCCGUUUUUAGUGGUGGAGACAAUAGUCUUCAAUGCCCUCAAGCUCGCAGAGACCUUCACAGUAAUCCAACCACCUACUCACACCCUCCCCCUCGAUUAAGGUUUUCUUAUACAUGGUGUAUUCCAAGUACCAAAAGCCCUAAGGUUGCAAACGAUUACCCAUAACGACCGAUAUAGAUUCGGCUCGACGUGCUACUAAACCCUGAAUCCAAAGAUUGAUCACCUAACCAAUUCAAGGUCACAAGAUAAGAAAGGACGGUGCUCCUCUAACCCUGUAUUUGAGUGACUGUUACACAACAUUGGUGAUCAGUUAAUGGCAAACGAAAAGCUAUUCAGGUAGACAAUAGUCUGGCUCGAGUGGCUAGGUAUGUCCUAGUCACGCCCUACCUAGGGUUGAGGAACACGUGUUUGUCCAAUUUCGACAAAACUAAGAGGAUGUUACGAUCCCGCUAUAAAAAGAAUCUGAAUGCCCCAUCCACGUGUGGGGCCGUCGAGCUAUAAGUGAGGGAUCUUAUUUAAAGGAGGGACGACGAAAAUACACGUCUCAGAACAGAAGGGGUAGAUAAAUGUGGGGAACCGAGAACCACUUGCUCUCUAAGAAACCCAUGGAAAGUCAAGAAGUGAACGGAUGCAAAACCGCUUUACUAAAGAAAGUGGGUUCACUAAGAGGGGAGAGAAAAAGGCGGGCGACAAGAAGGCGGUCGCAGGAAGUAAGUAGAUGGACGGCUCUUCGACAGGAGGUAGUAAAAUUGCCAAACCUAAGAAGACCAUUUCUUUGCUGUCGCUCUAGCCCUACCGGGAGGGGGCUUAGCCGGGUCCAACAAACCUUAUGAGUGGGUCCCACGCACUCAGUCAAAGAGCACCCGACGAAAUGUAAGAUGGCUCCAUACCGGGUGGUAAAACACAAAUGGUAUGGGAAACUGUUCGGUUGCCACUGGAACCAAAAACCAGUGGUUAAGUGGAUCAAUCCAAAAGGAUUGAAUCAACUUAUUUAUUCUCAAUAGCUCAGCUCGAGGGGAAGACCCUCGAAGUAUGAGGGAAAAGACCAAUUGAUAAAGCACACAAUGCUAAAUUCAAAAAUUGGUUGGUACUUUUCCAGGAAAAGAACUACUCAUCCCUCUAAAGCCGAAGGAAAGACAGCGGACUAACGCAUCAACCUUUCCAGAAGCCCAGGAGAUAAGGAGUUAGCUCUAUGCAUUCCUCUAUUGAAGGUAAAGAAACUGAACAGUUUUUCAUANNNNNNNNNNNNNNNNNNNNNNNNNNNNNNNNNNNNNNNNNNNNNNNNNNNNNNNNNNNNNNNNNNNNNNNNNNNNNNNNNNNNNNNNNNNNNNNNNNNNNNNNNNNNNNNNNNNNNNNNNNNNNNNNNNNNNNNNNNNNNNNNNNNNNNNNNNNNNNNNNNNNNNNNNNNNNNNNNNNNNNNNNNNNNNNNNNNNNNNNNNNNNNNNNNNNNNNNNNNNNNNNNNNNNNNNNNNNNNNNNNNNNNNNNNNNNNNNNNNNNNNNNNNNNGGGGCUUACUUAGAUUGUUAGGUAUAGUAAUAUAGGCAUGAGGCAGGCCCUACCCAAUGAGUGACCUCGUAGCAAGCAUACAACCAAAGGAGACCCUGACUACAAGAAGGCCCUAUUCCAAAGGUGGGAAACCAGGUUACCCUUUUUCCUUCUCAAACAACGCGUUUGAUUUCCUUCCUUAUACCAAAUUCCAUCUUUCUCUUGCCGAUCACAUCACAUCCAAGGCAUUUCGUCAGAAUACAUCCUGUCUUUUCACCUUUGUAGUCCUAUGCAUAGUAAGUACUAUAGCCUCACUAGUCCUCGUCGAGGAAUCUCCUUGCCGCCCUAGAAGUUUGAGAUCGUGCCCGAACGUUUUGGAGUCUGUUCAGGAGCUCCUUCAGCGCCCGGGGAUUGACGUCGGACUGGAGUCGGCUCAACAUGAAAUCAAGCAUGGUGCGAGGCAGAUGGAGGGGAUUAUGGUUCCAAUUUGUUGGCAGGUGCUUUCGCUGUAAAAGCAAAGGAACUUUUCAAGAGUUUUGAUGAAUUGAAAACCGGUUCUACUUCGCUCUUGCUUCGUGGUCUUGAGCAAGGAACUACUCAGAUUCGCACCCUGAUGUUUAUUGGAAGGAAAAGCCAGAAAGCAAGGAGGUUUGGUUUACGUAUGGUGGAAGGUUACAUUUUCCAGUCGGAACGACGGAGCUCUAAAUAAAAGGUAUGAAAUCCAAUCCCUUAUCUUUCUUAAGCGUACGGAUGAAAGCCAAGAAUGAAGUCGUCUCAUCCCGUAUGGUAGCCUAUUCUUUACCUCUCGUUCCAGGGUUGGAUGCAACAUUUCUAUGUUAUAGAUAGGUGAGUUGAGCAAUACUUGUUUUCGAGGAUUUCCACAAGUCCGUCCGAGUUGAGGGGCUAGGGCUUGAAUCCGGUCGGUUGUCCAACAGUGCCGUAGUUGAAUAAGCAUUUACUUUAUUUACUUCUAGAAGGACUUGAAGUGAGACCAGAGAGAGAAGAGUUUUCCCGCAAACCAUAGCGACUAGAUAGUCUCAAAACAAAAGAGUUCUUUUUACAGUAGCGGGGUUGGGAAAGUAAGAAAAGUCAAGCCCGAUGAUUCUGUGGGAAGGGACGGAUUUAGAAUUCCUUUUUCCUUCCUUUUUACGCCACCUCCUCCCAAUCCUUGAAGAUAUGAAGCAAUAUUUUAUUAAGACUAAGUGAAGGUUGGUAUGGCCCAAUCCCAUCAUUUAAAUGAGAGUGGAUCGAGGGAAUGGAAUCUAGACUAUAGAUUGAACUAGAAAAAAAAUGCAAUCUAUUCAUUCAUUCAUCUUAUCUUCCUUUUUAGAAAGUAGCAAGCAGCAAAUAAAACGGCUGCAGCAAGAAGUUUCGCACUCUAACUCGAAAUGGAUUUCGCGCAUUGAAAGUGUCAUCCCUUGCUUUGUUCUAACCGCCCUUCCUUUAAGUUUCAGUAUUCGAAACUCUUCCUAGAAUUAGAUUGUUUAUUUAGUAUAUAAUAGGAGAAGAAGGGCUUCAUUGCCCCCAGUAAAUGCUUUCGAAGGAGAAAUUUACAUAAUUCUCUAUAUUUUUGGAAAGGAUAUACUGUAGGCAUCUCGAUAGUAAUGGUAAUGGUAGAUCCAAACUAAACCUUCCAAUUAAUCAAGUUAAAUGUAAUAUCAUUUUUCCGUUUUCGUCUACCAUUAACAACCAUAAAUCAUAAUAUAUAUGUCGGAAUUAUACUUAGAUCUUUAUUAUCUUCAAAUUUGAUCAUAACCUCUAUAGAAAUAAAAUGGAUUAGGGCGUGAAUUAGUAAGUUGACUGCGCAUGAGAACUAUAUUAUCGAAUAAUAUUAAUCCUAACCUCACAAGAGCCUGAAUAAUAAAUGUUGAACUUUUCCUGAUAGAAGUAAGGCUGCCAUAAUAUUAUUGAACAAUGAAUAUAAACUAAUACUACAAUAAUAUAUUAAUAUUAUUUAGUCAAGCCGGAAUAUUCCAAUAUAUUUUAGUCUAACAUUAUACGAAAGAUCUAUAAAUAAUUAUCACAUGGGAAUAAAGUGUUAGCCGUCAUUGCUAUAACCAGACAGCAGAGCGAAAUGUUGUCCAUUCUUGUUCUGAGGUUGUUAGCUUCCUCCGAUGGAACCAUUUGUACUCUCUGCCGGAAUCUGUAGACAUAGUUUCUGGGUGUCUUUAGAAACUGAUCGACAUAGUUGUCACACACAAACCUGCGCAACGGGUUUGGAGUAAAAGAAUCUCCUGCGGUCACACACAUCAUCUCGAGCGCGGAAUCUACUACUCUAACAAGAUACUCGGCUCGGGUAAAUCAUGCUUUUGUUAUGCGAGGAAAGUGAAAGGAAAGAGGGAAAGGGAGACACUGGGCAAUCCGGAAUCGAUGAAAUCACUGUUUUUUCGCCUUGUAAUAUGUCCGGUUACAUUCCAAAGAUGAAUCAGACGAGGAGAUAGAUAAGCGCUAUGGCGGACACAUGAAAUAAGAAUUUGAAAAGUAAUGAUCAACUUUAUGGAUCCAUAGGUAGAUUCACUUGUGAAGCUAUGGGAUGGGACAAGAUUCAAAAGUACCAAAAGUAAGUUAAGUGGGACACUGAGUUCAUUGCUGCGAUCGAGGGUCCAAAGCCAGCCAAUUUGAUGACCGCGUAGGAACGGGUUCCGAAUGCUCACAAUAAUGUAGUUGGAAAUGACAAAAGGCUCCUAAAUUGAUACCUAAUAAUAGCUUAGCAGCUCCUUCGUUUUACUAAAGAGCCAAAUUCAGACAAGCAACUCGGAAGGAGGAAUGUGUUGAGAUGCCUAUGCCUAAGAAAGAUAAGCGAAGGAUGUAUGAUAGCCGAGAGGAUGUCGGUAAACAACGGAGUUUAAGGAGUUGUUUUUGAAUUUGGCAUGGCAUAUUUCAUUUUUUUAAUGAGAACGUCGUCUCCUUGCUUACCCGCCUGGCCAAUGGAAGGAAUUAAUUACCUUGGUCAGUCAGCGAAAGAAAGAAUCUCACCAGUUCAUCAUCCCAAUCCUUCCUAUUAGUUUCAUUAAUUUAUUCAGCCCCAGAGUGUUGGCAAUCAAGGUCCAAGAAAGAAUCCCAAGUCUAUCCUAUCUCGCCACGGUCGAAAGCACAAUCCCUUUCUCUUCCUAUACCAAAAUCGUCGUUUCAUUCCUCCGCAACUUCUAUCGCGGACAUGAUCCAAUCUACCUUGCAACACAGAUUAAGAUAUAACUUAAGGCUUUCCCAAGCUGGCGCAUAACCUCUGGUAGAGGCAUUCACCCAGAGACAGAGAAGUGGGAAACCGCGGAUGAAAAGAAUACCGAGGUCUUUGAUAGCAAACUUCUACGCGAGCUUUCUAACUAAAAGGAAUCUCUUAUUCAUAUGGCAUAAAAUGGAAAAACUUGAUGGAGAUUUCUUCUCAAUUUCCAUGGUACAGUCCCUUUGCAUGCUACAGUUCCAUUACUUACUACCUGAAUUUGCUAUAUACGAAAUUCUGACAUCUACGGUACUUGUCGUCUACUUCUGGUGGAAGCAAUUCCAAAGGUGAAUAUAAUACUGAGCCAAAUAGUAAUGAGGGGAAUGCAAAAUCUAGCAAAGGUAAGAAGGGUCAAGGAAGAAUAGCAGUGACGAACCUGGUCCUUAGUUUCCUCCAACUGAUUCCUGUUUUUUUGAGCCUUUUUCAGUAAGUCCUUAAUAGCGAAAAAUGCUUUGACUCUAAGGGUUACCUUGGUACCUUUAUUCGGAUAUGCUUCUUUUCAGACAGGAGGGGCAGAUUGACAUUCAUGCAAUGGCACAUGGAUUCUAUUGAGAAGGGCUGGUUGCUCUCGACGACAGGGAGGGUUUGAAUGAGAUGCUGGGAGAUGGGAGUUAUUGGUGGAUUGAGAGGGGAGCAGAUGCGUGGGCUAGUUCAAUCUUUUUGCUCUUGCCUUCCUAGCCUUAUGGACAGGCGUCCUCUGGCCUAGUCCUGAAAGUCUUCCCGCAGCCUUCCUUGCCCUCAUUGCCCGGCACACCUCGGAAGGCAUACCAUGGAACCAAUUCAUUCAUCUGCCCUCUUCGCGAUAAAGCUUUGCCUUACUUUGCUUGCUGGCUCUAAGCCCACCACCUUUACUACACUACACCCUCUCACCGCUCCUAUUCGGCCUGAAAGGCUUCUAACUUCCCCAAAACCUUACUUAUUCAGGGCAAGAUUCGGAACUUAGGGUCACUGCCUUUCAUCCGCCUUUCUCUCAUAUGCUUAGAACCUAUCCAUAGAAAUGGAAUUCAAAACUUCGGAAUAGUUUCGAGGAGAGCCGAGAGGACACGUUCAAGGAGUAGUGUAAAGUAGCAGACAGAGGGGCGCUCCCGCUUAGGCAUUAGGCAUUAGGCACGAGAAAGGACAUCGUUCUCGGCUGUCCCUUCCUUCCCGGAAAAAGGCUCUCUUGCUUCUUUUGCUUCCCCACCCGGCCUCUAUUCUAGAUUCACCGUCUUCGGAUGCAUCAGUUUAUUAUGCUUAUGCCUAAUCUUAAUACUGGCUAGUUACUUCAAUUACCUUACCCCACCGCCCCUCCUUUUAAGGAGGUUUCAGAGCACCCAGUCACAGCUCGUCACAAGAAAGGAUUGAUGGUCGAGUCCCCGUGCAUGAAGUCAGUGGAUUAUAGUGAACUGACCAUACUACAAAUCGACAUACUUGAGGAAGCUUCUUACUAAACCAAAGAAAGGGCAGCUCCAGUUGUGUUGUCGAUUCCCUUCUCCCGAGAGCUUUCACACUCUGGGAUGGGAGUCCCUUCCAAGACUUGACCAAAAGCUCCCCACAAUUUCUUGAUUUGAAGCAGUUCGGAGGCCUUUCCUAGUUACGAUUCGCCCUCGUCUGUCACUAUAGAUGUUCUAGCUUUAGUCUUUAGUGUCAUUUCGAGUUAUGCAUUUGGAAUGCUCCCCUUCCAAGCAAACUAAACUAACCUUGCUAAGUGCUAGCCAGGUGAAAGUGCUUUUCGCUAGUAGUUUUGGUGUUCUCUUCCCUUUAAUCCAAUUGAAUCAAUCGAUCAGAAGAACAACAACAAGAAGGCACUGUACUUUUAAUAGGCCCUACUUCCGAGACCUCUAUCUCUAUUUAUUUUCAUUCUUCCCUUUGGUCAGAUACUAGAAUAUAGUAUUUUUAUUGGACAUCCUCCUCACUAUUGAAAAUUAGGGAAAACCGGAUCAGUAAACUAUUGCAUCUAAGGGAACAGAGCAGCAGCCUAGAGAUAAGUAGGAAUUCAGGUUAGCUUUUCUGUUUUCCGAAUCUUACCCACCUGAGAGUCCUAGUCUCGAAAGGGCACCUUGGCCAUCCAGCCUUAUUGCAGAAUUGAUCCAAAAGUUGUGAGCCGAUAGAAGUGGAAAGAUAGUAGGUUUCAGAAAGGAAAUAUUCCAAUGGUUAGAUUACCUCCAUCUCGGUCAACGAUGGGGAUUUGUGAAGGUAUCAAACUUAAGCUAUCUAUAGAAUGACAAUUUUUGAUGUAGCUUCACGUCUACCUAUACCAAAGGGUUUCUAUAGUAUGCCGAACUAGUGAUAGUACCAAAUGGUCAAUGCCUACCUCAAAGGUUUGCAUCUAUAGAGUUACGAAUUGCCUACUGUGAGUGUUCCUUCUACCCCAAUGGUCUACCAAAACAGAAAUGCCUUCCAUAAGAUGAGGAAAUCAUUUUUCUACCUUCUGCCUCUGAGGUUUCCCUUCUCUUCCAGCAUUCUUGAAACCUGACAAUCAAACUAUUGCAUAUGGAGGACAAGUCAAAAGAAGAUUCAUUCCUUCAUUACGGCGGUUGAGGGUACCUGCCGUUCAGAGAUGCUAUCAGAGUAGGAAAGUUAGCCAAGUUAUCCUUCCUAGUUUAGAUAAAGCACCCCAAUCAUACCAGACGCAACCCGAUCAUUGUAUACAUAACAUAGUGGAAUUUGAGUAAAUUCUCUCUGCCUUUCCCAUUUCCAAUUCAAAAACCACUAGGCAUAGAAGGAAAUCUUUCCCGGUAGAAGGUUCUCAGUAAUCAGCAGUGGGAAUAAGCCCUUCCAGUCUUUUUCGCCUAAGAAGGUUUUGGAGGAGGAACCUAUGGGAACGGCAGUCCUGCAUCGAGAUUAUUAGUUGCUUAUUCCCAAUGAUAAUAUGUAUAUACACAUUACAUGUCCAAAUGACUGCUCCUCCAAAAUAUCUUCAGGUAGAAUGAACCAUGAUUGAAGAUAGGAUGAAAACCAGGGCUUUAAUAUAAUUUUACGAUCAAUUAUAGGUAGAUUUGGUAAUCCCAUCAUGAUCCGAUAAUAUAGAUAAGGAUUACUUUAAUCUCACAGGAUUAUUUUACGUACAUAUUAUAGGAUUAUUUUACGUGCAUAUUAUCAUGGUCAUAAAGUAUAUUACUCAAACUUUGACAAAGGUACUAGGGACAUUUCCUCCAUUUAUAUUCGUAAGAAAGAACUCCCACUAUUCGUUUGUAUCAGCCUUUAGUGGGUCUUGGUGAAUCAAAAAAAGGCGUAGAUAAUGUGCAUUGCUUUUGAGUUCGAUUUGAACUAACUAGUUUCCACGGUUCUCCAGGAACCUACCAUUUGUUUGGAGUAUAGCCAAGUGGUAAGGCAUCAGUUUUUGGUAUCGGCAUGCAAAGGUUCGAAUCCUUUUACUCCAGAUUAUGAAGACCCAAUCGGAUUUGUCAAGAACGAGCUAACAACUACAGGGGAAGCGGCUCAGUAUCAACAUACCACCUGCCUAUCUUAUCAAUGACAAUCAUCCGUUUGGAUGAGGCCAUUCUAAGGGUUGUUUAGGAUUGGUAUAUGCUCUCUUCCCACGGAGUUCUUGUCCCCAUGACCAGUAUCAGCAGAGGCAAGACCUAUAAGCAUCAAGCCAUCCAAGAAGUAGAAGUUGGUAAAGAUAGCACAAACAAAAGAAGAAAGGAACUUGGUUGGUGAUCUUACAUAUGGGAGGCCUUCUAUAGAGUGAGGCAAAUAGCGAUUUUGCUAUAGAUACUGGGAUCAGAAAAUGGUAGUGGUGAUUGUGAUUCUUCGUGAGACCCACUUAAGAAAUAAUUUUCAUCUGGGUAACAAUAGAUUAACUACCUAAUGAAUUGGGUAGAUCAUGAAUGCAAGGGACAGCAUUUCCAACUCAAUAGGCAAAUUCCUACCGGCCAGAAUCUGGAGAAGAACAAAAAAAGAAUGGUUCCGCUUACUCACAACUCAGAGGGGAUACCGCUUACUACUCAAAUCCAAGGAAUUGCAAAAGUUGUGUUCUUAUAUGCAAGAAUAAGACUUUGAAAGAACAAAGAAGUUUGGAUCCGCAAAAGUAUGCUUAGGCAGUUCCUUCACUGAGCACAACAGAAUGAAGAGGAAUUUGUUUCAUUUCAAAUACUUCUUAUUGAAAAGAGGGAAGGAGAAAAAUGGAAAUCUCCUACUCGAACAAUAAGUCCUUUUGUAGAAAAGUCUUCUUUAUAUAGUAAUUCGACCUAUUGCUCCGGAUCCCCGUUUACUAGGAAGAUAAGAAUCAAAAGGAUCAAACUACCUACUAAUUAUUCGGAGGUGAAUCAUAGAACACUAAAAGCUCUGGAAUCUUAUGGGCCUAACAUAGGUCACAUCCCUCACGACAUAAGAUUAAAAAAUCCAAACCUUCCUCUUCGGAGCGGAAACGGACGUGGACAGAACAUAUAAAAAAAGAUCGGCCUAGUCGCUCAUAGGGACAUAUCUAUCCGGAUAGAGGAUAGUCUAGAUCAAUUUUGAGAAAAAUCUCUCUAUAUAUAGAUAGGUAUCUCUGUGGAUAGAGAUAAAGAUAGGGAUCCCUAUAAAUCGAAAUAUAUGGAAAAAGUGCACUUUUUGACUAAUACUACUAUUUCUUAGACUUUUUCAAGGAAACAUCGUUUUUUCGAUUUUGACUGAAUUGGUCGGAGCGUAGACGAGCAAGCAGAGCCUAGGAAAGAGGUCAGAUCGUCAUAGAGCAGUCGACUAUAAGUAUAAGACUGCUGGCCUGAGAGAAGGCAAUCUCUCUCGGGAAACAUGGCCCCAUUUCUCUUCUUUCUUUUCACACGGGCAACAAUUGGGAAUAAAACAGACCAUGAACAUGAGUUUAAAAUGUAAAAAAAGGGAAGAGUGCAUUCUCCACUUUCUUAUCUCGAAAAUGCGUAAUAUAGUGAUGUCAUGUGUCUAUUUCUCUGAAAAGGUGGAUCGGCCCUUAGGGCAAAUAGUAGUACCAGGUUCCAUUGUGGAACGGUCGUUUGCCGAUGACCUUUGUCCGCUGUAGUACGAGUGACUGGCGCAUCGCAUCCAAUCUCUCAUGUCAAUGAGUCAGUUAGAAAACAGCUCCAAAUGAAUCAGUGAUUUCCCCUUUAUUUCCUCAGAGCACAAGGGGAAACAAGAUUGAGAAUGAAUUAAAACACAUCAAAUGUUUCAUUUUGCGUAUUAUCAGUGGUCAGCUCUGAUACAAACUAGGGGAAAAAGAACCUGGAACGCCUUCUUUAAGGCGCUACUAUUUCUAGCGGCAUAGGUGCUUUAUCACAAUAUGAAAGAUGUACAUACGAGGACUACGAUUCCUAUUUAGAGAUAUUCCUACGAGCGAUAGACGUAGUAAGGAAAUUACGUACGCCAAUAACAAAUACGAAUACGAAUUACGCCUACGAGCCUACGCAAUGGCAUGUUUCGGCGUAUAAAACUAAGAACGAGAAUAGCCUACUGCCUCCACUCGGAAAAGGCAAAGGUAUCCUUCCUUUUCAGCUUUGAAGUUGCAAACCGGCAGACCUUACUUUCUAAAAAAGACAGAAGUACGGAAACUGAUCCUAUUUCAGAUCUAGAAUUGCAUUCAAACUUAGGCCGUUUUGAAUUGACAUAGCAUGACCUGUGAACUCUCAGCGCGUACAACAGUUGCUUCGACAAACAUUCGAUAGACUAGCUUUCGAAGUGCCACGAUCCUAUUGAGUAAAAUCAUCCCCUGGGGAUAACGGAGUGCAAGGCUACCCACCUUACCACACUUUCCCUGAAUGUAAGUUGCUCAGUCAACCAGGAAGAUCAUGGCAGCUAGACUAAUUUGAGAUUAGAUCAGUGUCAUUUGUAGCUCCCUGGUAAUGAACUAAAAAAGAGACUGCUCACCGCUGAGAACAAGACGGCACAGGUUGUGGUUCUUCUCCAGUGUAGGCUAGCUGCUGGAACCCACCGUGUUCAAAUCCGAGUUAGGAAAUUAGACUCUGCGAUAUCGACCGACGCAACGCUAUCGUGAUAAGCAUAGCCUUCGCCCCGCAGAGUGCUAUAUCAAUGGUUCACCAGGCUCAGUUCAUUAAUGGCUUAGGGCCGGUCUUCAGUAAGUCAAUCACCAUCGGGUGGAGGGGAAAGCCCUACGUCAAGGUUAAUGGAUUCACCUACCCCAGUCUCAGAACUUUCUAGACUUUCUUACCUGUGUUCUUCUCAACUAAGAGAAGGGCGUGCAUCUACAUCAGUGGUAUUAUCUUCCUUUUUCUUUUUGCAUCUUUGAAUCCUGGUGUGUUGGUUAGUACCGAAGCCUCUUGGCUAGUACAGAGUUGUGGUUUGAUAUAGCUACUAGAGAACCUGGAGGCACUCUCUAAAAAUAAGUAUUCUUCAUAUGACAUGUGAAUAGACAACUCCUGGUAUGCUCAUUUCAUUUCUCUUGGACCUAGAUCUUCACUUUCAAAAGUCCAGAAUUGAUGUAUCAAAGGCAUUUCAAAGGAACAGAGGGUCCAUCUUUGAAGUGAGAGACAAUUGGUUUCAACUGUGUCGUAGGGGUUGUAUUCUAAGACCUGCCAGGCGGGAGGAACCACAGUCUUGGGUAUUGAGCAUGUGAAUCAUGUUAUUUUGUAGGAAUAGAUAUUCUCAGCCAUCAUAUCUUGUUCACCCUUGGCCAUAUCUCCUUCCGAGAAUGAGUUGGUUUGGGGAGAUCAUUAGGUUACUGAGAUCGAAGUAGUGAGGCUGCUUGAGUGCCAUCGAAACCCAUUUGAAAUUGCAAUGACAUAUUGAAGUAGUAGUUCGUUCAGCACCCGAUUAGGUAUCUGGAAAUAGUUCCUUAGCUCUUUUCUAGUUCGUUAAUGACCUCAGCGGUUGAAAUGGAAUUGGAUCCCAGCUUGUUAGUUAAUAGAAUCUAAAUGAGAUUGAAUGGAAAUGUUGGUAAACCAAGGGGUGCAUCAUACUUUUCAACAGAUGUUGGGGUUCCUAAACCAUAAGGAUACUCUUUUCAUAGAACAAGGCCUGCCAAUCGAUCUCCUAGGCUAUAAUCCAAGGGAUAGCUUAACAUGCAUCUCCUAGAUGGAAGUGUGCUACAAUAACUUUGAGCUCCUAUAGUCUUUGAUCCUUGAUCUGAAGAGGUAGGCAGCUAUGAUAAAGAAGCCAAGGGAUGAGUGAUUGUGGUUGGCGUGCCACAUGGAAACUAGAUAGGUGGAAGCUAUUUUAGACGACCUUGCGGGUCAUCCUAACAUUGAAAUGAAGCUAUUCGAGCAGACAGUGAAUAAAGCUAUGAAUGGGGGUAGCUUUACAAGGCAUAAUGCCGGUGUGCACUUUUCUUUUCUCAAACUGUGGUUGAUCCUCUCUAAAUCAGAGGUCAACAUUUCUUUGCAAUGAACAUUUAUUAGGUCUGGAGACCUUGUUAGGUGCACUCGUAGGUGAGCUGAAAGCGAGGAUUCAUGCGUUCUUUCUUCUCAAGAGUACGGAAUGAUUGCUCGGUAUGAUGUAGAUUCUUAGUAUGGGUCAAGUCUCUGUGCUUAAGUGUUAUCCCUGGAUCGGUAUGCUGACACACACAGUACUCGAGGAUUUAUAACAGAAGUAAAUCACAUGUAUAAAUAACGUAAAUAUUAUUACCUCAAUCCAAAUAGCGGAAGUAACAAGGUUGUGGAUUCCCAUCAACACCAACGACAAAGUUGAGUGUAGAAAUCGUAACCCUAACGUAUCACUUACUCGUCGUCUGAAAAGACUGCAACAUGAAACGUUGCAGCCCGAAAAAGGGUCAGCACAUGGAAUAUGCUGGCAAUGUAACACAUAGAGAGUAAUGAAUGAAUAAUCCUAUACUACAUGCAUAUAUGGCUGGUGGAAAGCUCUAUGGUUAUAAUGUUUUUGCGAAAAGCCAAUAUUUCCCUACUGCAAAGGAAUAAAUUCAUUUAACUAUCAUGGUGGUUGUUAAACAUUGAGAAUGGUUGACAGCAUUCUCAAUCCGAAUUAAAAUUACUCAUUAACCCAACAAAAUUAAUUAAAGUAACAUGAUGAGAUCAACAGGAUAAUCCAAGAACUAGAUACUCAAGAUGUCCAUAUCCGGGGACACGGCUGACCAUGAUUAGUUUAUACACUCUGUAGAGGUUUGCGCACUUUUCCCCACAAGACUCGAUCUCCUCCAUUAGAUUUCUCGCACCACAUGAUGUUUGAUAAACGGAUGAUCGAGACAUAGUCUUUCAGAAGCACUAGCACCUUACAUGUGGGUAGACCGGUACGCCUACUUUCCCCUGCAUCUGCUAGUCUACCCGUAAGAGUUCGCACAACUUAAUCAACUAUGCCAGAGCCCAUAAUGGCUUGUGGCUGCACACGGAAGUUUCUAGUUUGAAUAAUCUCAUGAUCCCUUUGAGCCUGGGUGGCGGUCCGAAGAAAUACAGGCAAGUCCUGAUAGAAACCAGGUGCCUCAAUCCACCCAGAUGUGUGUUUAAUUUGCCACCUUAAAUAAACCAUUAAUUAUCAAACUCACAUCUAUCAUGGAUACACUCACCCAAUCCACGUCUACUAGCAUAGCAUGGCAUAAAAAGCAAACGUAGAAGUAACUCCCAAGGGUUUGAUAAUAAAACAGGUAAUAGGUACUACCUCAAUCUACUUCCCAAGACCCUCAAUUUAAUUAGAUCCUAAUCAUGCAAUGUUUGAGGAUAAAUCUAUGCAUAAAACCUGGGUAGUAGAAAAGGUAUGGUCAAAGUGUUACUUGCCUGCAAUGUUGAUGAAGAUGAUUCGCACUCAAAACUCUUGAUAGUUCUACUCGUCACACUCCAGUCAAUCUAUCGUGAGCAAGCAAUAGUAACCACACAUAAGCAAUCACUCAAAGGUUCAGAGAGAAGGAAGAGAACAACUCGGAAAAUCUCAAAACCAAGCAAAUAACUCUUGCAGCAUAAAGUAAUUUCUAACAGUACCAAAAUUAUGUGAAUUUGGCCUUAUCAGAAAUUUUAGGUCAAGGGCUUUGAUUUGCAAAAAGAAUCAACUCAAACGGAGUUAUAAAACUCAAGUUAUGAUCAAACGAAGUUCAAAUGCUAAACUGUUUGAAAUUCAAAUUUUAAACUUUCAAAAACAUGUUUAAGUUGUUUUACUGGAUAGAGGGGAUCAUAACGAAGAAGUGGGCGUUGGUUUCGUUGGAUUCCGACUAUCGAGUGAAAAGUAGUGAUUGAUUUAAGAACAGGGACUAAUCUGUAAAUAAAAUAUUCACAGACGGGUCCCUGGCCGAAAUAAACAGAAAUCAGAAAGGCUAAAUAAUGAACGUUCAUUUAUAAGAUCUAAACAGUGGUCGUUCGCUGUUUACUAAAACCUAAAAAAAUAGAUCUAGUCUAGGGUUUAAGAAAAACCGAUCUUAAAAGAAAAACUGAAUCAGACCGGGGUCGGUUUUAUACCGGUUGGCAGUGGUUUUCGACGAAGAACCGGCGACGGCGGUUACUCCGGCGAAACGAGACGGCGGUGGCGGCUCGGGUCCGGCCGGGGCAGCAGCUCCGGUGGCCCUCCGACUCGGCGGAGUGAACGGGGGGAUGCGGCGCAGGACGGCGGUGAGGUGGGUGGUGGCUGCGGCGGUGGUGCAGCGCGGCAGCGGCUGCAGUUGGCAUCGGCGGCGGUGGCUACCGAUGGCGGCAGCGGCGGAUCUGGCGAGGGGCGGCGGCGGCGGCGAAAACGGGACCCAGGGGCCCCCAGGGUGGCCUUUUAUGGAGGAGGGGAGGCGCGGUGGCGUGGGGAAGGGGCGGCAGGUGGCGGGGCGGCGCCGGACUCCGGGAGGAGUCCCGGUCGGGGACGACGGGUGAGGCGGCGCGGAGCUGGGCCUUGGCCUGGCUUCGGCUGGGCCGGCCCAGUUCGGCGGAAGAAGUUUUUUUUUAAACAAAUUUUCACAAAAUAAAAUAAACCAAAAAUAAAUAAAAAUAUACUGUAGGCAUAUAAUAUAUCAAAAUUUUCAGAAAAAGAUUUCCUAUAGCGUGAACAUUAUUGUAGCUUCAAAUAAAAUCUACAAAAAUUCAAAUAAUUCAAACAGUGCUACUGUUCUAAUAAAAUCAUUUUAAAAAAUACCAAAAUUAAUUCAAAUUUAUUUCUCUCCAAUUUUCUGAUGUAGGGAAUCAUGUUACCCUAUUUUCCAUAUAUUUUAUUUUUGGAGAAAAAUAAUUUGAAUAAAACUCAAAUAACUCCAAAGUGAAAAUAAAUUCAAAAGAACUUUGAAUUUAAUUCUUUGAAACUCCCAACUCAUAUUUCAUAUGUUUUGAAGAAGUCAUUUUAUCUUCGCUAGUGAAAAUCAUUGAGUUGCAUAAAGUUCCUGGGUUGGAAAUAUUUUCCAAAUGAAAUUCAAAUAUUUUCAACACCCCUUGUCAUUUAAAUAAAUGGAAGAAGUCAUGCCAUCUUCUCUACAGGGUUUUGUGGUGAAAAGAAUUUGAAUUCAUGAAGAUCAAAAAAAAGAAAAUGAAAGUUUGGGAAAGUCCUUUUAUUCCCUCUCAUUUAACUUUCAAAAAGUUUCGAAUUCACUCACUUUCAGUCUAUCAAUCAAACAAUCAAUCAAAACUAUCUAUUUGUUUAUAACAUUCCAUAAUUUAGAAUUUUGGGAUGUUACAAACCUACCACCCUUAAAAUGAAUCUCGUCCUCGAGAUUCGGAGAUGCUAGCAUGAAAUAGGUUAGGGUUUGGGGGUCUUCUCAAAAUCCAUCGGUCAUCAGGGGUCUCGGUUGCUACCACCCUUAGAAGCAUUCUUAUGGUUCCAUCAAAAGUCAUAUACUCCAUCCUUUUGUUGAUAGGGUCGGUCUUCUCAGAUCUUCGGUAUAAUUCCUCCUCUGGCUCUUCCGGUACUGGCAUAACCUUUUCCUCAAUACUUUUGUCCUUUCCUCUUGGUAAGGUUAUUCCGAGACUGGGUCUUCUUAGCUGACGGGUCUGGCGCCAAUAACAGCUAUCGAUAUCUCAUGGUGGUCAACCAUUUAUGGUUUCUCCUGCAGAAAACGGGUCUGGGUGGAACCUCACCGUAUGACCUACGAUUGGCAACAACCGCCUUGUAUAAGGGAAGAAUACUUAUACCAUUCUAAGGUUCAAACAAGGUUUAAUAUCAUCGUCUCUCUUCUAUAGGUAAGUCACUCAGAUUUACCAUCCACAUAUCAAGGCGAAUAAUAAGAGUAAGUCGGUAUGGUGAUCAAUCCAUCCCGCACCCAAAUCAUUAUCUUGUAUAUGGUUUAGUGAAUCUCGCAUUCUAACACUCGGUCAUCCUCACAAGCAUUGCAGAAUUUCUCUUGUCAACGAACCAAGUUCGGAUAAAUCCAUUGAUUCUGCAAGCCAAACAAACAUCUAUCGUUCCUUCACAACUCUCAGGUUUUGAGUUGCUCCUAUAAAAUUGUCGGUUGAUAAAGUCGUAACUUCUUCCGGGGUUUUUCCUUCAGCAAGAGUGUGCUUGCUUCUUGGCAGGUCCUGGGGCCUGUGGGUUAUGGCCCAUCACAUCACUUGUAAACAUUGAACUUAUCAUCGAGCAACUGAUCAUUAUUCCAACUUCCAACUUCCUAGUAUUCUUAAACCCAUCCAAUUGUAUUGUCUCCCUUCCUUAUGUUGGUAUCAAACUAAAACGUGAUUACUCAGACUCAUCAUGGAAUUUCCAUUGAUCCAUAUUUCCAACAUCAUACCUCCUUUAUAUCCAAUAGUAAUCCAUCUCUUCAACCUCAUGGGAUAUCCCACAUACCGAGAUAAAAACUUAUACUUAUGAAGUCCAUACUCCACUUUGUGGAACAUCAUUAUCCCUUCCAGGGUCAAGCGUCCUUACAGGGGAAUAUUGGCCAUCUCUCCAUGGCACUUCUUCAAUUGGGAAACGUGAAACACAUCAUGAACUCCUGACAGUGCUUCGGAUGACUCCAACUUGUUGGCCACUUCUCCCAUACGCUCCAAAACUCGGUAUGGUCCUACAAAUCUCGGGGCUAACUUUCCCUUAACUCCAAAUCGUUUAACUCCUCGCAGAGGGGACACACGAAGACAUGCUCUAUCUCCAAUUUCAUAGACUACCUCCUUGCAUUUUUGAGUCUGCAAUAUUCUUCUGCCUGGACUGAGCUACCUUCAGUCUAUCUCGAAUCAACUUAACAUUCUCUUCCGACUCCUUGAUCACAUUUUGUCCAAAAAAUAGACGGUCUCCAACUUCAUCCCUUGUCAACGGUUUCUGGCUCCUUCUCCCAUACAAAGCUUCAAAAGGGGCCAUCUUCAAACUAGCUUGGUAACUGUUGUUGUAUGAGAAAUCUGCGUAAGGUAGAUUAUCAUCCCUACUAGAUCCAAAAUUUAGUGCACACGCUCUCAACAUGUCCUCCAGAUUCUAAUUGACUCUCCCGGUCUAUCCAUCUGUCUGCGGAUGAGGUAAACUGUGUUCCUCUAUCUGAUACGAUGGUCCUCGGAACUCCAUGCAGACAUACGAUCCUGGUCAAAAAUAUCUUGGCCAACUUCGCACUUGUAUAGGUGGUUUUCAUUGGGAUAAAAUGAGCCACUUUGGUCAAGCGAGUCAACUACUACCCAGAUAGAAUCAUAUCCCGUUCGGGUUCUGGGAAAUCCGGUAAUGAAAUCCAUGCCAAGCUUAUUCCACUUCCAUUCGGGUAUCGGCAUAGGCUGUAGUAAUCUGGCUGGCUUCUGAUGCUCUGCUUUUACUCCCUCUAGCAUACAUCACAUACGGCUACAUACUCGACAAUAUCCUUCUUCAUACCAGUCCACCAGAAAUGCUCCUUCAAAUCCAAAUACAUCUUGGUGUUUCCAGGGUGAAUCGAGUUGGUGAGUCAUGAGCCUCCUGAAGUAUUAACUUCCUAAUCUCUGCAUUAUUGGGUAUAUGUACACUGUCCUCAAACCAUAAGGUGUCGUGCUUAUUUUUACGAAAACCUUUGGCCUUCCCUUUGCUCAUUUUCUCCUUUAUCUCAGCAAUCUCUUUAUCAUCCUUCUAAGCUUCACGGAUCUUUUCCAACAAUGUAGACUGAACUUCCAUUGCUGCAACAAAACCUUUGGGAACAAUCUCCAACCGAAGUACCCUGAGAUCCUCGGCUAACUCCUUUAGUAAUCCCCCACUUAUGAGGGUAUUCAUCCUGGUGUUCUUUAUGGUUGUGUCCUAUUUCUCCACAAAGCUUGCAUGCACUUUCUCCAUAUCAUUUCCAUAAGGCUUCAACUUCUGGGACACAAAUCGAGACUUUAGCAAGGUCAACUUAAAUUCCUUCCAAGUGGUUACUCCUUGCCAUCCAUUGAUGUUUUGGUACAUCCUCCACCAAGUAGCAGCAACUCUUUUCAAAGCAUUGAAGAGCAUGCUGGGCCAUAUCAUUUCCGACUGCAUGGUUAUUCUUCAUGUGAUCCUCCAUGUUCUGAAUCCAUCGGUCCGUCUCCAAUUGACUCAUCGGUCCAGACAAUACAAGCUCAUCUCCAUUCAUCCUCUAUGGGGUCCAUGGGUUUUGGGGUGGGAUAAGAGAGAUAGAGAGGGACGCACACAAUACAAACAAAAGUUUUGAAAAGGCAGAUUUUAUUGUGGCUGUCGGAAAAACAACAAACAAAUGACAGCUCACAAUCGUCGCAUCUAACGUAAGUAUAUCACAGGGGUUUGGUCUUCUAAUGAUCAAUAAAUCUUCAACGUCACCAAACUCUUCAAGUCUUGUUCAUGUCUCCGAUAGAUUCUUCUGAUCAUGCUUUUCCUUCUCAAGUUCUUUUGCCAGAUCAUCUCUAUUGACGUGAAGUCUCUCAUGACAUCCUUUAAUAUUAUUGGAGUUCGUUCCAAACUUCUGGGUUUCAACAUCCUUGGUAUGAGCCAUGGUCCUACUGUCCUUCAGUUCCUGAGUUCUUCACGAAUUGCCUCCUUGUCAAAUAUGACUUCCUAAAGUCCAUCUUAAAAUCCUUGAUGUUAUACUCCAGAUCCUGGCGAUACACUAGCUAAGGUUAAAACUACAUCCUUUGCUGAUGGGUGCUCCAUCAGCCUUCUACCAUCCAAUCCUUCCAAAGAAGUGCAUGCUUAACUCAGCAUGGUGGCAAUAGCAUAAGAGGGCGAUAACAUCUUGGAUAGCCGUGCUUCUGCUCUUGUCAUUUCCAUGAGCUAUCAUUCCAUAGUUGAUAUCUCCUGCCUCAGGGUUUUCUUGACAAAACAUUGAGUUCUAAUGCUCCAUGUUCAGGUCUUUCUCCGAUACACCUUGAUCUCGGGUAUUGACAACUUCCUUAGUCUGUCAAAUUCCAUAAGCGUAACCUUCCUAGGUCAUAAAAAUCUGGGAAUUCUUCAGAGCAUUUAAAUUCUCCUAGUCUUCGGAGUCUUCAACUGUUGUAGUUUCCAUUAUCAUAAUGUAUGGUAAAAUCCUCUUCAUUCCGAAUGGUCUUAGUUGCCCGAUAUCUUGUCUCCUUGGAGUGGUCUCAUCGGUCGAAUCUUUGAGUGGUCAAAAGGGAAAAGGGGUAUGGUCUCACUAAAAGGGAAUAUUUGAAUAAGCUCAGAAGAGAAGAGAGGUAAAAGAUCUUUUUGAAAAUGAAGUUGUAGAGAAAAUCCUUUCCUAUGGGCUUGCCAGUAUCUAGGGUCACGUCCUACAGUCAACCUGGCUCUGAUACCAUCUUGUAGCGACCCGACCCGAAUGGGUCAAGUCUCUGUGCUUAAGUGUCAUCCCUGGAUCGGUAUGCUGCCACACACAGUACUCGAGGAUUUAUAACAGAGGUAAUCACAUGUAUAAAUAACGUAAAUACUAUUACCUCAAUCCAAAUAGCGGAAGUAACAAGGUUGUGGAUUCCCAUCAACACCAACGGCAAAGUUGAGUGUAGAAAUCGUAACCCUAACGUAUCACUUACUCGUCGUCUGAAAAGUCUGCAACAUGAAACGUUGCAGCCCGAAAAUGGGUCAGCACAUGGAAUAUGCUGGCAAUGUAACACAUAGAGAGUAAUGAAUGAAUAAGCCUAUACUACAUGCAUAUAUGGCUGGUGGAAAGCUCUAUGGUUAUAAUGUUUUUGCGAAAAGCCAAUUUUUCCCUACUGCAAAGGAAUAAAUUCAUUUAACUAUCAUGGUGGUUGUUAAACAUUUAGAAUGGUUGACAGCAUUCUCAGUCCCAAUUAAAAGUACUCAUUAACCCAACAAAAUUAAUUAAAGUAACAUGAUGAGAUCAACAGGAUAAUCCAAGAACUAGAUACUCAAGAUGUCCAUAACCGGGGACACGGCUAACCAUGAUUAGUUUAUACACUCUGCAGAGGUUUGCGCACUUUUCCCCACAAGACUCGAUCUCCUCCGUUAGAUUUCUUGCACUACAUGAUGUUUGAGAAACGGAUGAUCGAGACAUAGUCUUUCAGAAGCACUAGCACCUUACAUGUGGGUAGACCGGUACACCUACUUUCCCCUACAUCUGCUAGUCUACCCGUAAGAGUUCGCACAACUUAAUCAACUAUGCCAGAGCCCAUACUGGCUUGUGGCUGCACACGGAAGUUUCUAGUUUGAAUAAUCUCAUGAACCCUUUGAGCCUGGGUGGUGGUCCGAAGAAAUACAGGCAAGUCCUGAUAGAAACCAGGUGCCUCAAUCCACCCAGAUGUGUGUUUAAGUUGCCACCUUAAAUAAACCAUUAAUUAUCAAAGUCACAUCUGUCAUGCAUACACUCACCCAAUCCACGUCUACUAGCAUAGCAUGGCAUAAAAAGCAAACAUAGAAGUAACUCCCAAGGGUUUGAUAAUAAAACAGGUAAUAGGUACUACCUCAAUCUACUUCCCAAGACCCUCAAUUUAGUUAGAUCCUAAUCAUGCAAUGUUUGAGGAUAGAUCUAAUGCAUAAAAACUGGGUAGUAGAAAAGGUAUGGUCAAAGUGUUACUUGCCUGCAAUGUUGAUGAAGAUGAUUCGCACUCAAAACUCUUGAUAGUUCUACUCGUCACACUCCGGUCAAUCUAUCGGGAGCAAGCAAUAGUAACCACACAUAAGCAAUCACUCAAAGGUUCAGAGAGAAGGAAGAGAACAACUCGGAAAACAUCAAAACCAAGCAAAUAACUCUUGCAGGAUAAAGUAAUUUCUAACAUUACCAAAAUUAUGUGAAUUUGGCCUUAUCAGAAAUUUUAGGUCAAGGGCUUUGAUUUGCAAAAAGAAUCAACUCAAACAGAGUUAUAAAACUCAAGUUAUGAUCAAACGAAGUUCAAAUGCUAAACUGUUUGAAAUUCAAAUUUUAAACUUUCGAAAACAUGUUUAAGUUGUUUUACUGGAUAGAGGGGAUCAUAACAAAGAAGUGGGCGUUGGUUUCGUUGGAUUCCGACUAUCGAGUGAAAAGUAGUGAUUGAUUUAAGAACAGGGACUAAUCUGUAAAUAAAAUAUUCACAGUCGGAUCCCUGGCCAAAAUAAACAGAAAUCAGAAAGGCUAAAUAACGAACGUUCAUUUAUAAGAUCUAAACAGUGGUCGUUCGCUGUUUACUAAAACCUAAAAAAAUAGAUCUAGUCUAGGGUUUAAGAAAAACCGAUCUUAAAAGAAAAACCGAAUCAGACCGGGGUCAGUUUUAUACCGGUUGGCAGCGGUUUUCGACGAAGAAUCGACGACGGCGGUUACUCCAGCGAAAGGAGACGGCGGCGGCGGCUUGGGUCCGACCGGGGCGGCAGCUCCGGUGGCCCUUCGGCUCGGCAGAGUGAACGGGGGGAUGCGGCGCGGGACGGCGGUGAGGUGGGUGGUAGCUGCGGCGGUGGUGCAGCGCAGCGGCGGCGGCAGUUGGCAUCGGCGGCGGCGGCUACCAAUGGCGGCGGCGGCGGAUCUGGCGAGGGGCGGCGGCGGCGGCGAAAACGGGACGCACGGGCCCCUGGGGUGGCCUUUUAUGGAGGAGGGGAGGCGCGGUGGCAUGGGGAAGGGGCGGCAGGUGGCGGGGCAGCGCCGAACUCCGGGAGGAGUCCCAGUCGGCGACGACGGGCGAGGCAGCGCGGAGCUGGGCCUUGGCCUAGCUUCGGCUGGGCCGGCCCAGUUCGACGGAAGAAGUUUUUUUUAAACAAAUUUUCAGAAAAUAAAAUAAACCAAAAAUAAAUAAAAAUAUACUAUAGGCAUAUAAUAUAUCAAAUUUUUCAGAAAAAGAUUUCCUACAGCGUGAACAUUAUUAUAUCUUUAAAUAAAAUCUACAAAAAUUCAAAUAAUUCAAACAGUGCUACUGUUCUAAUAAAAUCCAAUAAAAUCAUUUUAAAAAAAUACCAAAUUUAGUUCAAAUUUAUUUCUCUCCAAUUUUCUGAUGUAGGGAAUCAUGUUACCCUAUUUUCCAUAUAUUUUAUUUUUGGAGAAAACUAAUUUGAAUAAAACUCAAAUAACUCCAAAGUGAAAAUAAAUUCAAAAGAACUUUGAAUUUAAUUCUUUGAAACUCCCAACUCAUAUUUCAUAUGUUUUGAAGAAGUCAUUUUAUCUUCGCUCGUGAAAAUCAUUGAGCUGCAUAAAGUUCCUGGGUUGGAAAUAUUUUCCAAAUGAAAUUCAAAUAUUUUCAACACCCCUUGUCAUUUAAAUAAAUGGAAGAAGUCAUGUCAUCUUCUCUACAGGGUUUUGUGGUGAAAAGAAUUUGAAUUCAUGAAGAUCAAAAAAAAGAAAAUGAAAGUUUGGGAAAGUCCUUUUGUUCUCUCUCAUUUAACUUUCAAAAAGUUUCGAAUUCACUCACUUUCAGUCUAUCAAUCAAAUAAUCAAUCAAAACUAUCUAUUUGUUUAUAACAUUCCAUAAUUUAGAAUUUUGGGAUGUUACACUUAGCCAGGGUUUGGUAGCUUAUGCCCCCUACUUUGCAACAUAGAGCAGAAAUGGUUGAAACGGCUCCCAUUGUGUGUGGGAAUUCUUUCAAAUGUGCAUGGCCUGGCGACUGACAGGAUGCCCCUGUGAGUGCUAUUCCAUGUGCUGGAAAACCUCUUUGGCACAUCUUUCGUGAUCUAGUUAACAGUAGUUUAGUGACUCAUGUCUUCCAGGGCUUAGACCUGCUUAUUAUACUAGAAACAAUGGAAUACCUAAAGUUGGAUAUAGGUGAGGUGGGACUUAAGAAUGCCUUGUCUGGAACAUCUCUUCAAAGCAAGAAUUAGCAUAUAGAAAGGAAGCAGCAUUUCCUUUCAGCUGCUUUUAAAAAGUCCCCGGGGAUAUAGCCCACUUCUCAUUUCUCAACACCAGCUUCUCUUCUCUUUUCUUAAGUAUAAGAGGGAUAGGUACUUAUUCCUGGCCGGUGGUAUCAUUGCCGCUCCCAUCCUCAACUCCAAUCUCUGAACUAUUUAGAGGUAAGUAAAAUCUCGCCAUGCCAUGGGGUGAUUUAUUUUUUCAUUCAACCUUUUAAAUAUAUCUGUUAUUAAUAAAAAACACUCCGUAGAGAAGUGAUAACCUUUGCACAAGUGAAAGAAGCCCACAUACCCACUCUCCUUUCCCUCUAACCAGAAGCAAUAAAACCAAAGCUACCUGGCGUGGAGGCCUGGAAUUCACUAUUGGAUUAAUGAAUCCUACACUACGAUCGAUAAAAAAUAAAAAUAAAAAGGUAAACAUCUUAUUUGUUCUUUAUUCUCACAUUUCUUUUUUUAUAUUGGGGAUUGGGCAGAUUUAUGGGAAGAGUUUGCUUACUUGAUCUAUAAUUAGCAUCCAGAGCUGGCUAUGGGGGUUAUCCAGCUCCUAGGGCUUUUUCCAUCUUUUGAUUUUUUUCAGUCGUUGACUGAGAUUGAUAGCAUCAAGAUCCCAUUCUAAGAUGGAAUGGAUGCAGUCAGUUUGGUCCUCAGUGGACCCCGGAAGCUGCAGAUGGAAAACUUGGGCCUUCUCCACUACCUGGGAAGCCAGUGUAUCCACUUCGCCCCUUAUCUUAUUGAUAGAUUUCUCCAUGGCACGGAGAAUUCUUUCGUCUGGAUCGCCAGUCAUCCAAUCCGAGGGAUCCACUGCUGUAGCCGUCGAAUAGGAAAAAAGUAAGGUAAUAAUAACUAAUCCUACUGCAAAGGCCCCACCUGGAAUGAAGGUAUUUGCUACGGCCUUCACAAUCCAAACAAGAAACGAUUUGAGUAGUAAGCGGCAUCCCCUCUGAGUUGUGAGUAAGCGGAGCCAUUCUUUUUUUGUUCUUCUCCAGAUUCUGGCCGGAGGGCUUUGUACCAACCAUUCUAGUGUGGUUGGAUUCUGUUCAACAGCCCAAGGACUUUCCGCACAUUUUUGGUUCUUUCCACUGCUUGAAGUGAUUGCGACAACUACGAAGAAACGACGAAUCCCAACUACGGAUAUAUAAGAACCGAAACUGCUCAGAGCAUUCCAUCCGGCGUAAGCAUCUGGAUAAUCUGGAAUGCGAUGUGGCAUACCCAAAAGCCCUAAGAAAUGCAUGGGAAAGAAGGUCAGAUUAACCCCGAAAAAAGUGAUCCAAAAAUGGAUUUGGCCUAAAGUUUCAAGAUAUGUCCGACCAAAGAUUUUACCCACCCAAUAGUAAAUUCCAGCAAAUAAAGCAAAAACGGCUCCCAUAGAAAGUACAUAAUGGAAAUGUGCAACCACAUAAUAAGUAUCAUGUAGAGCAAUGUCUAGCCUAGAGUUUGCUAGAACUAUUCUAGUGAUCCCGCCUAUGGUGAACAAAAAGAUGAACCCUACAACAAAUAACAUGGGUGUUUUGUAUUGUAUCGAACCUCCCCACAUAGUAGCGAUCCAACUAAAGAUUUUGAUUCCUGUGGGCACAGCUAUGAUCAUGGUAGCUGCGGUGAAGUAGGCACGCAUAUCAACGUCUAAGCCCACAGUAAACAUAUGAUGAGCCCAAACUAGAAAUCCAAGAACACCUAUACUUAUCAUGGCAUAAACCAUGCCUAGAUACUCGAAGACCGGUUUUCUUGAAAAGGUCGAUACGAUAUGACUAAUAAUACCAAAUCCAGGCAGAAUGAGAAUAUACACCUCUGGAUGACCGAAGAACCAAAAGAGAUGCUGGUAUAAUAUUGGGUCUCCCCCUCCUGCAGGAUCAAAAAAGGUUGUAUUAAAGUUUCGAUCGGUUAAUAACAUUGUAAUUGCCCCCGCCAGUACCGGAAGUGAUAAUAAAAGUAGGAAUGUUGUCACUAGAACGGACCACACAAAAAGUGGUAAUCUAUGCAUAGUCAUUCCAGGUCCACGCAUGUUGAAGAUAGUUGUUAUAAAAUUGAUAGAACCUAAAAUUGAUGAAAUACCUGAUAGAUGAAGACUAAAAAGUGCUAAAUCAACUGCUCCUCCAGAAUGGCUGGUAAUACCACUUAAGGGCAGAUAGACUGUCCACCCAGUGCCGCUGCCCACUUCUACUAAGGCUGAGCUUAAUAGGAGCAAGAGACUUGGUGGCAACAACCAGAAUGAUAUAUUAUUUAAUCGUGGAAAUGCCAUGUCAGGUGCACCUAUCAGAAUCGGAACAAACCAAUUACCAAAUCCACCUAUCAUCGCCGGCAUAACCAUAAAAAAGAUCAUUAAAAAAGCGUGAGCCGUUAUUAAAACAUUAUAAAGUUGAUGAUUCCCACCAAGAAUUUGAUCGCCGGGUCGGACUAAUUCCAUACGAAUUAGUACGGAGAAGCAUGUGCCCAUCACUCCUGCAAUGGCACCGAAGAUGAAAUAGAGAGUCCCAAUAUCCUUGUGGUUAGUAGAGAAGAGCCAUCGAACCAUAUUUGUCAUUAUUAAUUUUAGAAAUGAAAACUUUCCUUAUCAAAGAGGGGCCGGGGGCUGGAAGAGAAAAGAAUCAGAAUUACUGAGCUACCCCGCUCUUUUUUUUUCUAAUUCCCUUCUAAGAUCCUCUGACUUAAACAAGUCGAGAGCAUGCUCGUGCUCAGCUCUUUCGAGACUUGCCUUGCUCUUGGGGAUUUCUUCCCACCGGAUCCUCUGUUCCACUUCCAGGCACCUCCUUGCGGAGCUUUCCGCCUUAAGGAGAUCCCGUUUGUGGGAAACAACAUUUCGAAAGAAAACGGAUCCUCCCUCAUUCUCCCGCAGAUCUUGAUAAGACGCUUGGAGAACAGUGAAAGAAUCAGUUGCGUGAAUGUGGUCCAGAUAGGAACGAAGCGCUUCAUCGACCAAGUAGGGCUCGAUCGGUAGAUAAGGCCCUACUCUUUGAUAAAGCACCACAAAUUCCUGAAUGACAUCUUGUCGCAUAGAAGAGAGCUUUUCUUCCAUUAGGAAGAGCUUAAGCCGCCCAGGUAUGUCUUCCAGGGGGGUAUUGUGAUUAAGCUCGUUUUGAAUGAACGUAACCCAUCCCGGAUCUUGCUCGUAAAGACUCGGAUAGAAGUUUAGCCCUGCUAAAUGAGAUAGAGCCUGGGGGUCUUGAAUCUCCGGCGGGAGAGUGAUCAGAAAGGAGGUAUUAAUCGAUAGCAAUCCAAAUCUAUUACUAUCGUCACAGAAGUAGUUUGCUUCUAACGAAACUACUUUGUUCAAUAAUCAAAUGAAGUGGCCUUUACAUCAAUAAAGUCAUAUUAAGGUAAAUAAUUAUACAGCAAAAUAAUCAUAUCUUUGUUCAAGAAAUAAAGAUAUUCAUUAUUUCUGACUAAACCUGAACUUUGCAGAGCUAAUCCUGAAGAAAUAGCGUGCCUUAAAUAUAUUAUAAUUGGAACUCUACAAAUCGUCACAGAAGGAGGACUUUCACAGAAAAACAAAAGUUGUAUGCCAAAAAGAGCCAAUGUGAAUUUAGGUUCAAAAGGAUCAAUAGCACAUGACCAAGUUCAAGUGUCUUCUCUUCAAGAGAAUAGAGCAUAAUUGUAGGAUUAUAUGGAUAUCAGUGCUUUUAUUCAAUUCUCGAGGCACUCUUCAACGAUUGAGGAGAUUCCCGAGGCAGUCUUAGUGCUAUCGUCAGGGUCACCAGCCUACUGUACCCCUUAUUCUGGCUUAGCCUUGCUUAAACAGAAGAGGCUUGGUUAGCAUCCUUUCUAUCAGGUGCUAUUCUUUGCUACCAACAAUUCUUUAAGUACGCGGUGAAGUAAAUAAUAGUGCACUUGCUGAUAGUAGAACCCCCAAGAAAUCUCACAGUAUAGGCCGAUAUCUUUGUGCAAUGUCAUUUACGGGUGGUUAGGCAAAUAAACACAAAGGAAUUGAUCGAUUCUCUUAGUUGAUGUGCUUUCUUCCAAACCCUUGACUCGAAGAUAGUCAAUACUACCUUGCUAUUUAUAGAAUUCCUCCACUAGGUCGGAGAAUAUAUUACUUUCUUUACCGACAUGCAGGUGGAAUAAGACCAGCAUUAUGAACUACUCAUCACUGAAUGUUACGUACUGCCAUUCCAACUAGCCAACUAGCUAUUAACUAUUAAGGGGAAUUCCUCCCAAAGGUUGGAAACUCUAUUUAUUUAUGGGACUGAACUUAUUGAUACAGUCAGAUUUAGGAAAAAAGUGCAUGCAUGUUUCACAUACCCACUCGCUGAAAAGAGGUCAGAUCAGCAAAAACACAGGACCCAGAAAUUGCAUAU